AGUGAUAUCGCGCCGAAGAUGAUCGGGACUGAAGUUCAGAACCGAAGCCGCGGAUCGUGAAUUUAUUCACGGUGGUAGAAGAGCGUUGUAUGCGGGUUGAAGCCGAAGAGGGAUCUGAGGUGGACUGCAUACAAGUGACCAUGCAGGCAUGAGUAGCGAAAAACCGGAUGAGAAUUCCGGUCACCGAAAACCCAAGGUUUCCCGGGGAAGGUUCGUCCGCCCGGGGUUAGUCGGAUCCUAAGGCGAGGCUGAAAAGCGUAGUCGAUGGACAACAGGUUAAUAUUCCUGUACUGCCUUGUCGGAGUGAUGGAGGGACGCAGAGAGUCAGGUGAGCCGGCUGCUGAAUAUGCCGGUCGAAGCCCGUGGGACGUGCUGUUGGCAAAUCCGCAGCACACUAGUCUGAGAGGCGUAAGGUAGCCGAACGCAAGUUUGGCGAAUUCACUGCGACUGCACUGACGAGAAAAGCUUCUAAACGAUGAUGACAGGGUAUCCGUACCGUAAACCGACACAGGUGGGUGAGGCGAGAAGCCUAAGGUGCGCGAGAGAAACCAACGUUAAGGAACUCGGCAAAUUAGCCCCGUAACUUCGGAAUAAGGGGUGCCGCCUCUGGUGAAGGGAUUUACUCCCCGAGCUUAGGGCGGUUGCAAUAAAGAGGCCGGUGCGACUGUUUAACAAAAACACAGCUCUAUGCCAACUCGUAAGAGGAUGUAUAUGGAGUGACACGUGACCAAUGCCAAAAGGUCAAUGGGAGAGGUUAGCGCAAGCGAAGCUUCGAUCUGAAGCCCUGGUGAAUGUCGGCCGUAACUAUAACGGUCCUAAGGUAGCGAAAUUCCUUGUCGGGUAAGUUCCGACCUGCACGAAUCGUGUAACGAUGCCGGCACUGUCUCAACGUGGAUCUCGGCGAAGUUGUAAUUCCGGUGAAAAUGCCGGAUACCUGCGGAAGGACGGAAAGACCCCAUGAACCUUUACUGUAAUCUGAUAUUGGUAUUUGAUUGCUCUUGUGUAGCAUAGGUGGGAGGCAGUGAAACCGCUACGCCAGUACCGGUGGAGCCACAGGUGAAAUACCACCCUGGUGCAAUUAGAUAUCUAACGGAGUCCCGUGAAUCCGGGCUCCGGACCGUGUCAGAGGGUCAGUUUGACUGGGGCGGUUUCCUCCUAAAUUGUAACGGAGGAGCCCGAAGGUACACUCAGCACGGUUGGCAAUCGUGUGAAGAGCGUAAGGGUAGAAGUGUGCUUUACUGUAAGACCGACAGGUCGAGCAGUUGCGAAAGCAGGGCCUAGUGAUCCAGCGAUGGAAUGUGGAAUCGUCGUUGCUCAACGGAUAAAAGGUACUCUGGGGAUAACAGG
rnacentral:rRNA from 1 species